GUCACAGUGGACUUGCAGGGCCGCCUCUCCUGCCCCCAGAUGAGCUCAGCCGCGCCACUGCCCUCACACUGUAAAGACCUGCUGCCACAGCCUCGGCUUCUGAUUUACCUCCCCUGGAUCACGCUGUGGGUUUGGCCCAAAGCAGCCUGAGUUCAGCCCCAAGCUACUGUGUCUUCUUGGCCUUCACUGAUUCUGCUAGCAAGGUCUCAGAGGGACUUGGGGGAGUGGGCAAGGGCUCCCCAAUCUCCAGCUCAGCACCCAGGACGCAGUCUGGAGAGGAACGCCUCAGAGAAGUUUUUCCCUCUUGGGCCACAUCUGUCCUAGAGUGGACCUUAGUCCGUCCUUUCCUACCAAACUGAUGUGACUGGUCCAAAUCCACAGUGUCAGCCUUCUGCUUCUCUGGCCGCCUUCCUGGCGGACAGCGCCACCAUCUGGCCAAAGUCUGUCCAUGACCUUAAGCUCUCAGCCUGGGCGCCUCCACUGCUACCCAAUCAGCUCUGCCUGCCCCUUGGCCCAGCCCUCCAAAAAACCGCGAAGCCAAGAGCACCUGAAAGGCACAGUGGUU